rnacentral:lncRNA from 1 species
UGGAGAAUUGAGUUUUUAUUUAGUUGUCAAUAAUUUUAAGUACAAUUUUGAUUAUUAUAAAUUAAAAUAUGAGCGAAAGUGAAUUUGAAGAAAUUGAACGGGCUUGGGAAGAAGGGUGUUCCGUAAUUAUUCCCGAAAAAUCCAAAAUCCGUUAUCAAAAUACCUACCAAAGUUUUAAAAAAUGGUGCGAAGGCAAGAAUUUAAGAAUCGAAGAAAAGACUAUUGGCAUAUUUCGUUCAAAGACAUAUGCAGAAAGCUCCUGGAAGCCUCUGGGCAGAAUAUUCAAUGAUUAAAUCCACCGUUUUUCUUUAUGAUGGCAUUGAUAUUUCCAAGUUUUCAACUUUGAUCGCGUAUUUGAAGAGAAAAAAUGUUGGCUAUAGGCCUAAGAAAGCGAGCAUUUUUACACGGGAGCAAUUUGAAAAAUUUCUGAUGGAAGCAACGGAUGAAGAAUUUCUAGUUCACAAGGUAAUAUAAGCUAGUUUAGGUAAAAGAAAUACUCUAAUGAAGAUUUUUUCAUAAUUUGUAGGUCGCAAUGAUAUUGGGAAUAUCUGGUGCCUGUAGAAGAGAAGAAUUAUAUAAUAUUACUAUGAAUGACAUCCAACAAACCGAUGGUUUAAUGAUUGUAAAAGUACCCAAUAUAAAAACGAACAUCCAGCGUACUUUUACAGUCGGUAAUAAACCAGACGAUAAAAUUCCAUAUUUAGAAAUUCUGCAAAAUAAUUUAACAAAUUGUACCAUAAGUUUCAAUAUUAAUAAAUAAUUCGUUAGUUUUCUUUAUUCUUUCAAAAAAUAAAUUAAAAUUAAGAGAUUUUUUAACUCGACGGUAAGUGAAUUACUUACCGUCGAGUUGGAGUACAGUAAAACCUCGAUAUAACGGACCUCUAUUUAACGGACUUCGGAUAUAACGGACCAAAAAUAAGGUCAAAUGUAAAAAAAUUUAAAACGUCCUGUUAAUCUUAUACAUACUUAACCCUGCCUUUACUAACAUACAUUGCAUAAUAACGGGGUCCCCUUGGAUCCCAAACGUUGUAUUUUACAAAGAAUUUCAAUAAACUUUUUAUUAUAGCAAAAUGAGGACACAUUUCCAAAUAAUCUGAUUUAUUUUAAAGCUAUUUUUAUAUAACGGACUUUCGGCUUCCCUUCAAUUAGUCCGUUGUAUCGAGGUUUUACUGUACUUACCGUCGAGUUGGAUUACUUACCGUCGAGUUGCUAGUAAAUGUCACCUACUGACGUAAAAUCUGUCACGGUAAACAGUCAAAAAUGAUCAAUCGUGCAAAAAAAGACUUACCAGCUUUGAAAUGUGGAAAAUAUGGACACAACACAUAACGAACACGGAAAUGUUAAGAAAGAUGAAAAAAGAAAUACUCAACACAGUGAAGGAAAGGAAAAUGAGCUACUUUGGUGACAUACUAAGAAAUAAAAAAUUAUGAGAUGAUGCGAUUGGUUAUACAAGAGAAAGUAGAAGGAAGAAGAGGACCGGGGAGACGACGCACGUCCUGGUAGAAAAAUUUAAAGCAGUGGACUGGAAAAACAACAAUAUAACUCUUUAGAACCGCUGCAGACAGAAUAAAAUGGGCCAUGAUGAUCGCCAAUGUCCUUAAAGGAUGAGACUGUAACGUUUCAAUCAGCCGAUUGAACGCUACAGGUAUUUGUCCCUCGGACUAUAUAUUUCUAGAAGCGACCCUACUACCGUCAAGUCAAUUAGUACAUCUCUUCGAAGCUAUUUAAUGCGAUAAAAAUUUGUACUAGCUCCCUUUUGCCAUUGCCACGUAAAUCAGGCACAAUAUUCGCAUACAUUAUCGUGUUUGUGUGUAGGCCGUUAAACAAUGGCCCCUACCUCGGGAAGAAGAUUUUAAUCAAGCACCUGGAAAAGAAAACCUUCUACCGCUACCUUGGAGAGCGAAUUAGCUUACAACCGUAUCCUGAUGCACUAGAAUAAAUUAAACAAGACAGCCCUACAGAGACAAGACAGACCAACAACGUAGCCCUAGACUUCCCUUAACUGCCGGCGACGACAAAUUCUACAGGGAUUGGGGACCUCCUUUAGGAACUGUGACGGAAGGACUUAAAGCUGAGUAAAUUUUUACCUUUAUAACUUUUGUACCGAUUACCAGCGGGGUCUCGGUCACGGGCUUAGAAAAUUAACUUGGUUAUCAGUAUACAAUAAAAAUGAUUUUUGUUAAGUUUUUUUUAUAUUUCAAUAAAUAGCGUAUUUAAAAAUGA